AGCCACAUACAUUUCUAAAAAAUCUGAUUGGAACGAUACAGAGAAGAUUAGCAUGACCCCUGCGCAAGGAUGAAACGCAAAUUCAUGAAGCGUUCCAUAUUAUU